AUGUCAGAAAACAGGACAAUGGAAGACUCUACCUCUGGAUCCAAUACAAGACUCUCUGAAAUAAGAAUAUUAAUGAUUGGGGGUCGAGAGUUGGGGGCAAAAGAAGCAAGUGGAAAAAGUUCAGCAGGAAACAUCAUUUUGGGGAGAAAUGCUUUUGAUAUUAGUAGAAGAACAGCACGAUCUGUUCAAGCUACAGGAGACGUGGACGGAAGACAUCUGAUUGUUGUUGACACACCAGGCUGGUGGUGGCAUUAUACUAUUCAAAAUACUCCACAGUUUGAUAGACUGGAAAUUAUAAAAAGUCCAACACUAUGUCUUCCUGGACCUCAUGCCAUCCUUCUGGUCAUACCUGUAUAUUUAGCAUUUCCAAGUAUCUACAGAAUGACUCUGGAACAACAAAUAAAGUUUUUGUCUAAUGAGGUCUGGAAACACAUUAUUGUGUUGUUCACUUCUACCGAGCCAUGUGAUGAGAGCUCUUUGAAAAACAAGGUCAGAAAAUGGCCAGAUCUCGAACAGCUAUUAGGGAGGUGUCACAACAGAUACCACAUUCUUAAUAUUAACAACCAGAGUGACAGCACUCAAGUGAUCGCACUGCUGGAAAAGAUUGAGAAAUUGGCAGCACAAAACAAGGGCCAAUGUCUUAAAAUCAGCCAAAGCAUAUCUGCAUGGAUUCAGAAGGAAAAAACAACAAAUAAAAGAGACAAACAAAGAAUACUCACGGAAGGAAAACAAACGACUGAACUUAAAGCUGACAGCAGAGAUGGGGCACAACAUCUGACUGAUAUAAGGAUUGUGAUAGUUGGAGCUUCUUGGGCUGCGAGAAGCUCUGCAGGCAACGUCAUUCUGGGGGAAGAAGCUUUUGAAGUUGACGAUUCAAGAACAACAGUGCGCUGUGCAGUUGGUCAUGCUAAAGUACAUGGCAGACAGCUAACAGUGGUCGACACUCCAGGCUGGUACUAUAAGAGUCUUCUUGAAAACACAUCAGAGAUGGACAAACUGGAGAUCAGAUGUAGUGUGUAUUUAUGCCCUUCUGGACCACAUGCUAUUUUGUUAACUGUUCCCAUUGCCACAGCUUUUGACAAGUCUUAUCAAACUGCUGUGGAGGGACAUAUGAGACUUUUGGGGGAAAAUGUCUGGAAUCAUACAAUUGUGCUGUUCACUCGAGGAGACUGGCUUGGCGAUACAACCAUUGAGGAACGUAUUGAGACAGAAGAAGGACGCCUUGAGUGGCUGAUGGAAAAAUGUGGAUACAGAUAUCAUGUUUUAAAUUGUAAAUGGCACAAUAACAACACACAAGUAGUGGAACUCCUUGAAAAGAUUGAAAAAAUGGUGACGGAGAACAAUGGCUGUUAUUAUGUUCCAGAAAUAAAUGAUCCAAUUGAGCUUGAAAAGAAGAGAAAAACUGCAAGUACUAACAAGAUGAACGUGAGCAAGCAAAGACAUAUCCUUAAAGAGUUGCUUAAAGACCGAAAAUACAAUCUCUCAAAUGUGAGGAUCGUGCUUCUUGGAGCAGAGGGAGUCGGGAAGAGCACGUCAGGAAACGCCAUUCUGCAAGGAUAUUUUUUUGAGCCCACACUGGGAGAGGGUCAUGAAAUCCAUACAAGGCAAUGUGUAACAAAACAGAGGAAAGUUGAGGGACGUCAUGUCUCAGUGGUGGACACACCUGGCUGGUCCACAUCAACUCUGGAAAAUGAAAAAGAAAUUUUACGCAGUCUGGAAGUUUGUUCUCCAGGACCUCAUGCAUUCCUGCUAGUGUUGCCUGUACGCAAGCCUUUUACAAAGAAAUGUCAGCAAACAGUGGAGGAGCUCAUGAGCCUUUUUAGAGAGAAUGUCUGGAGACAUACAAUAAUAUUAUUCACUGAGGCACACUGGCUGAAGAAUAAACCAGUUGAGGAGUAUAUUGCAUGCGAAGGAGAAGCUUUGCAAGAGUUGAUAAGUAAGUGUGGAAACAGAUAUCAUGUGAUAGACAAUGACUGGGAUAACAGAUCUCAAGUCAGAGUUUUGUUAAAGAUGAUUGAACAAAUGGUGGCAAGAAAUAGAGGUGAAUACUUCACUCUUGAAAAAAAGGCAAGCAAGCCAGGAGUCCUCAGGUGGCUCAGUGGGUCAAAGACACUAACUGAAGAGGAGUGGAUGAAACGUGAGGAUGAACUUAUUGACAGGGUGUUGAAAACACUAGUGGCGGAUCCAGAUGAAAACCCCAAGCAGUCAUCUCAUGAACUAAAAGGAAGUUUUGAUGGCUCAAUCCCAAAUAUGAGUGGAGAUUCUGGAUUUUCUGACGUAAACAGUGUAUUUGGAGUUGAUGUUCUCAACUCUACUGUUAAAGUAAGUAAUUGGCUUGGGCGUCCAGGAAAUGAUGCAACAUCAUCAGGGUAUGACACCAUGAGCAUUGCAUCCAGUACUCAGUAUCAGAAGAUGGAAGAUGUCAAGGUUGAUAUUCCAGGGUCCAGACAACCAGUGGGCAAUCUGAAACCUGCUCGUGAUACGAGUGCAAAAAAGCAUUCAAGAUCAAGAUCAAUAUAAAGCAACUGUUCUGUGCAUUGUGGGACAAGAUGAAACAAUCAAAAUAUUAACAGAUCAGGUAACAUGCAUUUCUGCUAGUACCUGUACUUGAGCGUUUCAAAAAGAAAACUCAACAGACAGUUAAGAAGCUCAUGAGCCUUUUUGGUUUAUAUGGCAGAUGUCAGAAAUUGUAUUCCAGUGUCCAUACACAGACCAUGAUACACCAACACAUGACAUAUACACUUAAACAAACAUCAGAAACACAAGUAAAAACAAUGUAUAAACCUUAAAAAGUACUUGCAAUUAAAUAUUUAAUAAAGAUGUAUACCCAGGUUUAAUCUCGAUGAAU
ensembl:lncRNA